AACGUGACGUCAAUGCCUAGUAACUGACGCAGCCCUUUAAAAAAAGAGAGAGAGAGAGAUUCUGCAAGCUUUAAUUGUCAUCGUUUGUGUACUGCUCUCAAGACAAAACAUAUUCCGCUCGCAGUGCAACUGAUUAUGGUUGUUUGUGCGCGUGAGCCCGCGUAUGUCUCUGUGUGAGUGCGUGCGUGAGUGCGUGCGUGUGUUUUCUUCUUUAUGAGCAGCGAAUCCGUCCCGAGUUUCCAAGCGAAAGUUGCAUGGAGACACACCGCGUAAGACGCGUAUAAUAAAGAGGACGGUGAGCGACAUAAAGGAACGAGGAGAGCGGGAACAACUCUAAGAAAAAGACUCUCAAGCGAACGUUAGAAAUAUUUAGCCCAUAUGUCAGGGGUAGCCUACUGAAGCAGUUCGUUUGGGAAAAAAAAAAAAAAAACAGAAAAUCACUGCAGCGAUGCAUCGGAGGCGAGUCGGAGCCCUCGCAUGGAGUUGGAGAGGCAAAAUUAAUGUACAUUACAUGCACUCCACGUAACGCUCCUGAGCGAUGUCUUUGUGAGUGUGUUGUUUUUUCUUACUGGGCGCUAAAAAUAGCAUCAGUGUUUGAUCGUGGUCCAGAAAUAGGAAGAGUGUAUCACUUGUAUAAAAAGGACUGCGAUUCUGAGAAAACUUGGACGUGUUGCUGGGGAUAGAUAUGCAUCAAGGGCAGUUUUUGAUUUUCAUCUUGCUUGUUUUUGUGUGACACACUCACGUAUGAUGGUUUUAACUCAUGUCUGUGUUUUCCCUGCUUUCAGCAAGGGCUCGCUGCACUGGGCAGGACAAAACUUGAGGGAUCCAUCAUGUCAAGAAGAGAAGGUGAAACGAACGGUUCGAGUCACAGAACGUUCCCACGUCGUGACGUCACCGUCUUCACAUCUUUGCAAAAGCGAGCUGUGAAGCUGAACCGACUGCGUUCCUCAUGGAAGGACAAGGACGGCUGACGGAAAUGGAAGUUGUCGGAGGAAAAAGAGGGAGUUGACCAAUAAAAGAGGCCUCAGUCGUGAUAAAAUCGUGAUGAGGUCCUACGGUUAAUCGUCUGAUCCACAACUUUCACAUGUGAGAGGGAAAAAUAAAAAAGGAUAAGAAGAUCUGGGAAAACUUUACUUUGUAUCCUGCCCAGAAGAUCCAACGUCAAUCCGACGUCUGUUAGACUGCUUUACACCUGUUAAUGGAUAUUCAGCAAGUUAAUUUCUUUUUAGGAACACAAUAACACCGUCAGGUAUUUGCUAUAUUUGUCUGUAAACUAUCUGGGUUUUAAUUAAUGAGAUAGACUUACGUUGCUUACGUUGUCACAUCCAGACGUCUGUCACGUGUGAGCUGCGUGAGACCUAACGGGAUAUGAAAAUUAUAACGUAUAAAGUGUUUGAGCUACUAAAAAAAUGUAUACAUAAAUUCAUAUUGGAUAUAGAUGCAUUUGUUGCAACUCUUUACCAAAGUGAGGAACACGAAUAGACGAAACGUACGAGAGCGCUUGUGUUGUUUUAAUAGGCUACGCAAAGAGGCGGAGGGAAACGUAGUCGGAUUUAAUUUUAUUUGUGCUAAUUAAAUAAUUGUCUAUAUGUAGCUUGAAUGGAUUUGUUGUGACUCUGGUAAUAAGAACGUGAGCGCAUUAAACGUCCGCGUCUGUUGAAGAGUAUGACAAUUCCAGGCGCAGCACUCGGAUGUUGUUGGGUUUUUUUUAGCUUGUAGUCCUUUAUAAUUGUGAGGGUUGCAUGUUUCUGGGAUCCUAUAGUUUGUUCAAAUUGUUGAAGAUGCAUACAGUUGAAUGGGGAGCUGUCCACUGCGCGUGGUGCUGAAAUACACUGCUGACGUAUCACUCACACGACCCCAGUGAGCUUAUAACCGUCACGCUGUUUUAUACGUUCUUUCCAUAGAUUAGUUUAUUAUAUCAUCUAUAUAUAUAUGUAAUAAUGUUUCAUAACUAGUGUUUAUGGACCACUUUGUGCUCAAUUAAUAUGAAAAAAAUAUUUGUUUGAAUUGUCAAAGGGUCAGAGGGCCUGGGUAGUGCAGAAAAAGGUAGAAGCAAAUAUGUUUCAAUAAAAAAUAAAUAAAGAUAGUAGGCGUCGAGUUCAUCUUAAGAUGUCUGUGGUAGCCUAUGUGAGUGUCGAGGACAGAAAGCAGGAAUAUAUAGUGUUACGUGAAAGGCUGAGAGGAAAUGUGUGUGUGUGUGUGUGUGUUUGUGUGGUAAUUUCGAAAAAUGUGUUUUAAGGUUUGUAAGGAAAUUAGUUUAAAGUAAAAAUAUCUAGAUUCUGCAUAAUUUAUCAAAGUAUUAUAUAAUAUCCAUUGUAGUAUAAUAAAAACAAAAAUGAACAGUGGUAGUGCUCUAUCAGAUUAUUUAUGCUUUACGUGUCUUUACGUGUCACAUUUUUAUUGCUUUAUAAUUGUACUAUUGUUUUCUGCCUUGCUGUUUUUGUGUAUCGUUUCUGAAGAAUUACCCGUGUUUGACAUGAGUUUUGCACUCCUAUGUUUUGUAUAUAAUUUCUAUAUAGUACAGAUAACAUAUGCUGAACUAACGAUUUGGCUAAGAGUUUUUAUGAAAUAAGCUGUACGUAUGGUGUGAUUAAAGUAAUUGCAUAUUGCAAAGUCAAAAAGCUGGAAGUUUGUUGUUGACGUGACGAAGUUGUUUUGAAAUCAGUCUGUAUUCUCUGUCCCAUGUCAGUGCAAAUAAAAUGUUUGGCGUUA